rnacentral:lncRNA from 1 species
CCUUUUUCCAAAGUCCGAUAUUUGUUUCCUUUCUGUUUUUAAUUAUUUUUUGUUCCAUAACCCUUUUACAGUGCCUCAUGUUUUGCAUAAAUUAUUUAAUAUAUAAUGUUUUAAAUUUGGUAAAAUUCCGUCUUAUAUUAACAUGCUAAUGGUAGGAUAUGCAUCUUGUAUAAAUGACUAAGACCAACUAAGGCUAAUUUGAGAGGUGGUCGGAGGGGUUCUGAUCCCGAAAUCCCGAG